rnacentral:rRNA from 1 species
GACGAACGCUGGCGGCGUGCCUAAUACAUGCAAGUAGAACGCUGAAGCGAGGAGCUUGCUCUUCUUGGAUGAGUUGCGAACGGGUGAGUAACGCGUAGGUAACCUGCCUUGUAGCGGGGGAUAACUAUUGGAAACGAUAGCUAAUACCGCAUAACAAUAGGUGACACAUGUCAUUUAUUUGAAAGGGGCAAUUGCUCCACUACAAGAUGGACCUGCGUUGUAUUAGCUAGUAGGUGAGGUAACGGCGCACCUAGGCGACGAUACAUAGCCGACCUGAGAGGGUGAUCGGCCACACUGGGACUGUGACCCGGCCCAGACUCCUAGGGGAGGCAGCAGUAGGGAAUCUUCGGCAAUGGGGGCAAACCUGACCGAGAAACGCCGCGUGAGUGAAGAAGGUUUUCGGAUCGUAAAGCUCUGUUGUAAGUCAAGAACGAGUGUGAGAGUGGAAAGUUCACACUGUGACGGUAGCUUACCAGAAAGGGACGGCUAACUACGUG